AGAGAGCAGGGUAUCCCAGGCCCAUUAAGUAACGACCGUGCUGCUAUUAAGUAAUGUUCCACUGAGUAACGUCUGGCCAUGUCUCACUGGAAGUCAAAGAAGGGAGGCGCACAGCAGGAGGAGAAGAAAGAGGAGAUCCGCAGUCUUCAGGAGCAGCUGGCUGCCUUGAAGGAGAUCAGUGUGUCAAAAAGGCUCCCCAAAACAACCUGGCAGAUGCAGGAGAUGACCAGUCUUCAGUUGUCAACCACUUAGACAAGAUGCGUCCUUCACUGAAGAUGGACUGGACCUGCACUAUUGCUGCGCCGCUGUGACCAAUGUAGGCAAAUGCCAGCAUGGCUCCAAGCUGGAUUUAAAUAGGUAACUUCCAAGGCCACUUGCAAGUAACUUCUAUCUAUGAAAUGACAAUGUCCCAUGAUUGAUGAAAUACCAUGAGGAUGAUGGGGAACCAGGAGGAGCUUUGGGUGGAGUGAGGAUAUGACCGUGUAGUGUAGACACAUUGACGUGUGGUUUUGUGUGUCCUUGUUUUGGCGGCUGAAGUGUUUAUUUGUGGAGGAUGUUGUGUGUCUCAGGUGGUUGAGAUAAUCAGCCUCACAGAGCACCUGUUGGGGGAGUGUGAGAACAGGGCUGGGUUCAGCCAGUGCCCCCGGUGUUCAGAGGCUGUGCUCACGGACAAGCUCACCCGCCACACCCAGAGCCCUGUCUGCAACAGUGAGUCUCAACGCUCCUCUAGCACCGUCUAACUAUGCUAACGGCUAACUAUGCUAAUAGCAAAACCUGCUAGAUCCUAACCCUGCUAACAGCUUUAUUUAACAAGACAAGUCAGUUAAGAACAAAUUCCUAUUUACAAUGAUGACCUACCCCGGCCAAACCCUCCCCUUCCGAUCACGGCUGGUUGUGAUACAGCCUGGAAUCGAACCAGUAAAGAGUCUGAGUGGGGAGGGGAAAAAAGGGGUCAGCUUUGGCCUUCAGGCUCAAAGGGGGCGGGGGGAUAUAACUGUCAAACAAAACAUUUUUCAAAGAAAUCAAAGUACAAAGUACAUUUUCAAACAAACAAAAGGUAAGCAAAAAGCUGUGCCCUGCUAACCCUGCUAACUGCUAACCUUGCCAACAGCUAACCCUGCCAAACCCUUGAUCCAGCAUUAGUCCAUGGUUGCCAGAAUCCCUUCCCUUCUUUUAGUCUUUGUACACAAGUGUAUUCUCACAGCCAAAGGUAUCGAGUCUGUUGUGCUUGACUCUUGUACGCUUUUGUUAUUCUUUCAUUCAUGUCUGCCUAUUAACCCUCAAGGGCUCUUAACAGUGAAGCCAGUUGGGGUGUCAAGUAAGCUCAUUAAAACAGUACUGUGUAAAUGACUGGUAGAAAGGAAACAUUCUCACUGAGAGGUAACAUCACUCCACGGAGGUGAUAUUGUGGAAUUCAACCUAUGUGUCCAAUCGUUUGAAUCUACAGCUUGAAUAGUGCUGAAUAAUAGGUAUAGACAAACAUCCUUUUGGUUUGAGAGCGAAUGGGAACGUAUAAAACAAUACCAUGGUAAUGUUAUAAUAAAUAGAAACCACAACAUCAACUAGGAAAUCAACUCUGAACAUGUUUGUUUUGCCAGGCCAACUACAGAGACAUUCAACAUAUACUAAAUGACUAAAAGUAUGUGAACACCUGCUCGUCGUACAUCUCAUUCCAAAAUCAUGGGCAUUAAUAUGGAGUUGGUCCCCCCUAUGCUGCUACAACAGCCUCCACUCUUCUGGGAAGGCUUUCACUCCAUGUUGGAACAUUGCUGCAGGGACUUGCUUCCAUUCAGCCACAAGAGCA